CGUACGAGAACGCUUCAGCUUGCUGAAGCUAGUAAAGUGGCGUACGGGUGAGUAACGCGUGGGUAAUUUACCUUCGAAUCGGGGAUAACUUCGCGAAAGCGGAGCUAAUACCGGAUAACAUCUAUUGGAUUCCGGUCUUUAAGAUCAAAGGUGGCCUCUACAUGUAAGCUACCGUUCGAGGAUGAGCCCGCGUACCAUUAGCUUGUUGGUGGGGUAACGGCCUACCAAGGCCGCGAUGGUUAGCUGGUCUGAGAGGAUGAUCAGCCACACUGGAACUGACACACGGUCCAGACUCCUACGGGAGGCAGCAGUGAGGAAUUUUGCGCAAUGGGGGAAACCCUGACGCAGCAACGCCGCGUGAGUGAUGAAGGCCUUCGGGUCGUAAAGCUCUGUCAAGUGGGAAGAACCUGAUUUAUGCCAAUACCAUAGAUCACUGACGGUACCACUGAAGGAAGCACCGGCUAACUCCGUGCCAGCAGCCGCGGUAAUACGGGGGGUGCAAGCGUUAUUCGGAAUCACUGGGCGUAAAGGGCGCGCAGGCGGUUUGGUUAGUCAGAUGUGAAAGCCCGGGGCUCAACCCCGGAAGUGCAUUUGAUACUGCCAAACUUGAGUAUGGGAGAGGGAAGUGGAAUUCCUGGUGUAGAGGUGAAAUUCGUAGAUAUCAGGAGGAACACCGGUGGCGAAGGCGACUUCCUGGACCAAUACUGACGCUGAGGCGCGAAGGCGUGGGGAGCAAACAGGAUUAGAUACCCUGGUAGUCCACGCAGUAAACGGUGAACACUAGGUGUAGCGGGUAUUGACCCCUGCUGUGCCGGAGCUAACGCAUUAAGUGUUCCGCCUGGGAAGUACG
rnacentral:rRNA from 1 species